AUGGCCGGCCUUGUGGCCUGGACGCUAUGGCGCCACCGCAAUGCGGUCAUCUUCGACAAGAUCACCCCGUCUACCUCCAUCCUGGUCACCACUAUUAAAGACGACGCUCGCUCCUGGGCCACUGCCGGAGCCAAAGGGCUUAACGCUUUUAUCCCUGUAACCUGA
rnacentral:rRNA from 1 species